AUUGAACGCUGGCGGCAGGCCUAACACAUGCCAGUCGAGCGGAUGAAGGGAGCUUGCUCCUGGAUUCAGCGGAGGACGGGUGAGUAAUGCCUAGGAAUCUGCCUGGUAGUGGGGGAUAACGUCCGGAAACGGGCGCUAAUACCGCAUACGUCCUGAGGGAGAAAGUGGGGGAUCUUCGGACCUCACGCUAUCAGAUGAGCCUAGGUCGGAUUAGCUAGUUGGUGGGGUAAAGGCCUACCAAGGCGACGAUCCGUAACUGGUCUGAGAGGAUGAUCAGUCACACUGGAACUGAGACACGGUCCAGACUCCUACGGGAGGCAGCAGUGGGGAAUAUUGGACAAUGGGCGAAAGCCUGAUCCAGCCAUGCCGCGUGUGUGAAGAAGGUCUUCGGAUUGUAAAGCACUUUAAGUUGGGAGGAAGGGCAGUAAGUUAAUACCUUGCUGUUUUGACGUUACCAACAGAAUAAGCACCGGCUAACUUCGUG
rnacentral:rRNA from 1 species